rnacentral:rRNA from 1 species
UACGUAGGGGGCUAGCGUUGUCCGGAAUCAUUGGGCGUAAAGCGCGUGUAGGCGGUCCGGUAAGUCCGCUGUGAAAGUCGGGGGCUCAACCCUCGGAUGCCGGUGGAGUACUGUCGGGCUUGAGUACGGAAGAGGCGAGUGGAAUUCCUGGUGUAGCGGUGAAAUGCGCAGAUAUCAGGAGGAACACCAAUUGCGAAGGCAGCUCCGCUGGGACGUUAACUGACGCUGGAUGCGCGAAAGCGUGGGGAGCGAUCGG